rnacentral:tRNA from 1 species
AGUUAAUUAGCUUAUAUAAAGCAUAUACUUUGAAAGUAUAAGAAAGAUUCCAUUUAUUAACUU